AAUGCUAUGGGCUGGUGGAGCUACCUGUCCUCUUAAGCUAUUCUAGGGUUAAUUGUAGCAGCAGUAGUGGCCCAAAGAAGGCUCAAAAGGAGAUCAGGAUGAGAUUGAGGAUGAUCAUAUAAUGGAACGAGAGAAGAAUCAUCAUUGAGAAGGAGAGGACAAAAAUAAGGGCGGGGCCUCACUACCUUGUGGCUUUUGACUGCACCCUUUCGGGCUUUCCGACGUAAAGAUGUGUGGAGAGGGAGGGAAGCGUGGGUUCUACGCGAGCUCAUGGCAUUCAGCAACAGAAAAUUUGAGUCCGUGGAGAGAAUACGAGCAAAGGAUUGUGGUGGGCAAAGCAUCUUAAAAGAGAGGGGGCAAAAUUAAAGGCCUUCCACACCAUGUAACAUGGUGAGCUUUUGGUUUGGCCUUGGAAGAGAUCAAAGGGAAGAAGACAAGCGUCCAUUGGAGUUGGUCGUCAAUCUCCGUUGUGGCUGCUACCCGAGCAUUGUUGGUCCCAAUUAAAGCUUUUUGCCUAUCAAAUAUCGUUCAUGCGAGCAUGCCGUGACGCCGGAAACACUUUGGCCAAUUAUUCAAGUUUGAGCAUUGAUGUGAUGAGUGGAGGUCACAAAUCUGCGAUCAUAUAUGAAAGAGGGAGGUGAGAGAAUGGAUUCGUAACUUGUCACAAUGGGCAGCCAUCAUUACGAUUACAAAAGUUUCAACUUAUCAAAAGAAAAGGGAAGAAAAGCACGUCGAUUCUGAUCUUGGUUUAGAAGUUAAUAUGAUACAAUUCCAACUCUAUUUAGAAGAAAAGUUGCUCUCCUAUUAUGUUGAUUUACUUAGGCUUUCAAGAUCUUAUACUGUCAAAGAUGGUAGCCUGCUCUUCUUGAAUAUAAGUAUCAUCCAAGCCUCUUAAGAGUACAGCCAUUAA